rnacentral:rRNA from 1 species
GACGAACGCUGGCGGCGUGCUUAACACAUGCAAGUCGAACGGAAAGGCCUCUUUCGGGUGGUACUCGAGUGGCGAACGGGUGAGUAACUCGUGAGUAGCCUGCCCUUGACUUUGGGAUAACUUCCGUAAACUGGGGCUAGUACCUGCUAGAAGCUCCUGUUGCACGGUGGGGGUUGGAAAGUUUCGGCGGUUGGGGCUGGUCUCGCGGCUUAUCGGCUUGUUUGUGGGGGAUGGGUAUACCAAGGCUUUGAAGGGUAGCCGGCCUUAGGGGGUGACCGGCCACCUUGGGACUGAGAGAGGGCCCAGUAUCCUACGGGCGGCAGCAGUGGGGAAUAUUGCCCAAUGGGUGCGAGCCUGAUGCAGCAACGCCGUGUGCGGGAUGCUGGGCUUGUGGUUGUGAACCGUUUUCGCUCAUGACGAAGCUUUGUGUGACGGUAGUGAGUCAAGAAGCACCGGCUAACUACGUG